GACGCCCCCGCUCCUGACUGCAAGUGCUCGCGACUCGCCUAGGUUUUGGGGGCGGCGGCCGGCAGCGCUCCUGCUCCGAGCUUCUGGCGUCGCGGCACGCAGGAGCACCAUCUCUGCAGGCUGCAGCGCGCGCACAACGCGGAGCCGGCCAGCCGGGAGUACGCGGGCGGCGGGCGGCGGGCGGCUGCGGAGCCGCGGAGGGCACGGCCGCACGGAGGCCGGAGCUGCGUGCUGCGACCUGCGAUCACUGCGGCACUGCCGGAGGCCGGAGCGCGUGCUGCGACCUGCGAGCCUGCGACUGCAAGGUGCCAAGGUGCAAGCUUCGACGGAGCCACACUGCCACAGCCACAGAGGCAGGAUUCACCACUGGCCGCGACCCAACGCGGACUGAGGUGGCCACCACAGCACCACCCGCAGCCAGCAUAGCUCGCCCGCCGACUCCUGAAGCCACCGCGGAAACAAGCAGGACCCCUCCUAUCCAUGGCUCGCCGCCUCGUCGUGCGCCACUUUCUCCCACACUUGCGCCUGCAGGCGCCGCGGCCCCUGCCUGUUCCACCGCUGGCUCUGGGCAUGAUUAGGCGUUGUGUCGGUCCGUUGUCUUCUCCGGUUCUGGCGCAUCAAGGAAUACGAUACUUUGCCGACGAUCACUCACACUACGAUCUGUUUGGUAAAAGAAGACCAGGGGAUGAAGAGUUCAGAAAAGCUUGGCAAGAGGAUGUUGAUGAAGAGGACUGCCUGUGGACAGGUAGUGAAGAUGAUGACGAGGAGGAAGAGAGUGAUACAAAAUUGGAGAGGGAAAUUAAGAAAGUAAAGAGGCAAGCCAAGGAAAAUGCAAAUCUUAUUGAUGCUGAUGACAGUGAUGAGUUAAGAAGCAUAUGCCCUGAGAGUGAUGAAGAUGAUAUGACUCUUUGGAGUGGCAGUGAAGACGAUGACGAUGAUGAUAUUCCCUCUGAGGCACAUCCCAGUGAACGCAGCGAUUCAUAUAUUGAUAAGGUGUUUGAAUUUGAUGAGUCACCAAAGUACCGCACAAUUUCAGAGCUGUUGAAAGCAGAGAAUGAACCACCAGAGCUAUCUCCAGGAAAGCAAGCAAGAAAACUUGCCGUAGAAAAUGCUCUUAAGAAGUUGAAGAAAGGCCCUGAUGGACGCUACAUUAACGUAUUUGAUGUUGUCACUGAUAUAGAUAUCCUUAUUGGAGCAUUUGAGAAUAUUGUUUCAGGACCAGAAUAUGCAGAGCUGCGGGAGGGUGGACCAAAAAAGCUCAAUAUACAGUUCUUUAAGGAUAUACAAGCACGCAUGAGGGACCCAAAUUUCAAGUUUUCUCCAGAGUUGAAGUUAAAACCAAAGAGUAAGUUAGUGUCUAGGAAAAAGUGGCAGAAAGCAAAAGCAAGGAAGAGGAAAAAUGACAGACGUUGAGCUGACAUCAUACAUUGAAGAUCAAAGGAAAGGAAGCUUCUUGCUGGAUCAUGCGGUUAUCAAUUGUCUAUAUGUCUGGAUGCAUCAUGGUAUCUGUACUAUAGUCUGUCAAAAGUGGUAAGGAGGACUGGUGAGAAAUCAGAAUUUAUUUUCGUUAGGGACCAAUGCCGUCAUGAAGUGAGCCACAACCAUUAUGAUGCGCAUUCAUUUUCAACCACCUUUACCAGCAUACACUUUCAUCAUGGUUCAUGGAAUUUGAUCAUGGUUGGCAACUUUGGGUUCCGCAGGCUCACAGCUUUCUUGCAAGGAAAACUGCACCCGGUGUUUGCAACCUUCCCCUUUUGGUUCUUGAAAUCCAUUUGCAAUAUGUACGUCUAUUCUCCUAAUGUUUUCAACCUUAGAACACUACUAUGUGGAUUUUUGCUGCCUAAAGUAUGGUGUCAGGCCUUAAAAACUCGCAAGUCAUCUAUGCUUAAUUAGCCAGUUAACCUUUAAUUUCUCCUCACAUGGCACUCCCACCAGCUCCACUCCAAUGCCAUGACCAUCUGCUGGGUGGUGCGGGACAAAUUCUGCCAGUACAUCACCCCCGAUGUUUGACUGCUAACAGUUGUUCAACCUCUCCCACUGUUAGCCUGAUGCCAUGAUCACAGGUCACAUGCCACAGGAUACAAGUCCACACCAGAUAUACAAUAUACAAAUUAUAGCAAGCCAGUCAGGGCAAAGCACUAGGCAGUAAAAGGUAUUACAUUACAGUGUUUGAUCACCCUCUCAUGUUGCCCCUACUUUCAACAGCACAUCUAAGUCAACACCAUGAUUCAUUCUUGAUACAGGCGAAACCAUAAGAGCAGAAAAAUAAUGAGACGAAAAAAGAAAAG